AACGAACGCUGGCGGCAUGCCUAACACAUGCAAGUCGAACGGGAAGCCACCUUCGGGUGGUGGAGAGUGGCGCACGGGUGAGUAACGCGUGGGAACCUGCCCCGAGGUUCGGAAUAACGGCUGGAAACGGCCGCUAAUACCGAAUGUGACCUGAGGGUGAAAGAUUUAUCGCCUUGGGAGGGGCCCGCGUCCGAUUAGCUAGUUGGUGUGGUAAUGGCGCACCAAGG
rnacentral:rRNA from 1 species